rnacentral:rRNA from 1 species
GAUGAACGCUGGCGGCGUGCUUAACACAUGCAAGUCGAACGGUGAAGGCGGAGCUUGCUCUGCUGGAUCAUUGGCGAACGGGUGAGUAACACGUGAGCAAUCUGCCCCUGACUCUGGGAUAAGCGCUGGAAACGGCGUCUAAUACUGGAUACGAGCUGCGAAGGCAUCUUCAGCAGCUGGAAAGAAUUUCGGUAGGGGAUGAGCUCGCGGCCUAUCAGCUUGUUGGUGAGGUAAUGGCUCACCACGGCGUCGACGGAUAGCCGGCCUGAGAGGGUGACCGGCCACACUGGGACUGAGGCACGGCCCAGACUGCUACGGGAGGCAGCAGUGGGGAAUAUUGCACAAUGGGCGAAAGCCUGAUGCAGCAACGCCGCGUGAGGGACGACGGCCUUCGGGUUGUAAACCUCUUUUAGCGGGGAAGAAGCGAAAGUGACGGUACCUGCAGAAAAAGCGCCGGCUAACUACGUG